rnacentral:rRNA from 1 species
UACAGAGGUCCCAAGCGUUGUUCGGAUUCACUGGGCGUAAAGGGUGCGUAGGCGGUCGGGUAAGUCUGGCGUGAAAUCUCCAAGCCUAACUUGGAAACUGCGUUGGAUACUAUCCGGCUCGAGGAAUGGAGGGGAGACUGGAAUACUUGGUGUAGCAGUGAAAUGCGUAGAUAUCUGGAGGAAUACCGGUGGCGAAGGCGGCAUCCUGGACCGACAUUGACGCUGAACGGCGAAAGCUAGGGGAGCAAACGGG